UACGUAGGGGGCAAGCGUUGUCCGGAAUCAUUGGGCGUAAAGAGCGUGUAGGCGGCUCGAUUAAGUCUGCUGUGAAAGUCCCAGGGCUCAACCCUGGAAGGCCGGUGGAAACUGUCGGGCUAAGAGUCCGGAAGAGGCGAGGUGGAAUUCCCGGUGUAGCGGUGAAAUGCGCAGAUAUCGGGAGGAACACCAAUGGCGAAGGCAGCUCGCUGGGACGGUACUGACGCUGAGACGCGAAAGCGUGGGGAGCAAACAGGGAUUAA
rnacentral:rRNA from 1 species